GAUGAACGCUGGCGGCGUGCCUAAUACAUGCAAGUCGAGCGAACAGACGAGGAGCUUGCUCCUCUGACGUUAGCGGCGGACGGGUGAGUAGCACGUGGAUAACCUACCUAUAAGACUGGGAUAACUUCGGGAAACCGGAGCUAAUACUGGAUAAUAUAUUGAACCGCAUGGUUCAAUAGUGAAAGACGGUUUUGCUGUCACUUAUAGAUGGAUCCGCGCCGCAUUAGCUAGUUGGUAAGGUAACGGCUUACCAAGGCAACGAUGCGUAGCCGACCUGAGAGGGUGAUCGGCCACACUGGAACUGAGACACGGUCCAGACUCCUACGGGAGGCAGCAGUAGGGAAUCUUCCGCAAUGGGCGAAAGCUUGACGGAGCAACGCCGCGUGAGUGAUGAAGGUCUUCGGAUCGUAAAACUCUGUUAUUAGGGAAGAACAAAUGUGUAAGUAACUAUGCACGUCUUGACGGUACCUAAUCAGAAAGCCACGGCUAACUACGUG
rnacentral:rRNA from 1 species